rnacentral:lncRNA from 1 species
AAUCACAAGAACAGGAAAAUGAGCAUCCUUCCAUUAGAAUCGCAGUCCGAAGACGACACUUCAGCAACUGUUACUGCAUUUGGCUUUGACCGGGUCAAAGGAAUUGAGCCCAUCCUCUCCUGCCUGACAAGUACCAUAUUAUCUGAAGCCCCAAAUACCCAGUGCUGGUAAGUAGACAAUCGCUUUAUCUUGUUUUUCUGUUCUUGUUUUUUCCUUUCCCCCCAAGGUUUUCCCUCUGAAAACUGCAUUUUACUGCGCUGAUACUGUAGCCUCUAAGCCAGGUAUGACUGAGACAAAAGACUGUUAAAUAAUUGUCAAUAAGUGUACUGAUUAUAGUCACCUUUAAGCUCUAGAAUAAGAAACAUAUUCCUUUGCUUAAGUAUAGGGACUUUCUAUACCUAUAUCUUUAUGAUGUUCAAAAAAAAACUCAAAAAAAGAAGUAGCAUUUUUACUGAACAAUAUGAUAAUCUCAACUUAGAAUUAAUAGAAUUAUAGUUUCUGUACCAACUUGAGAGCUGAAAAUAUAUUCAGGAAGUCAAAAUAUUCUUUAAACUCUCUUAUUUGAAUCAACAAACCUCAAGACUUUGGUAUUUAAAAUGAAAAUUUCUGAUAUAUCCCAACAAUAAUUCUCAUUUACAAAAAAAGCAUUAUCCUAGCACCGUUUCACUUGCUAUUGAAUCAUCACACUGAAACAGUAAUAAUAGAAAAGACAGGAUAAAAAGUCAUCUAUUCUUGUGAAUGCAAGUGACAGAACAUCUCCUACUUUGAUCUCUUGUGAUAUUCAAAUGUUAGCUGGGAGAGAGAAACCACAAAGGAGAGUUUGAUUUAUUUGGCUAAACUACAGUGAUUUGCAAGGCCUGUUUCAAACACACAGCAUCAACAUCAGCAGCAGCAACGUUCUACCUACAGACACGAGCUUGACCUUUGCCUUUGUAAAUGCCAAAGAUGGUAAAAAUCGACAGUCCUUCGAUUCUAGGAAUUUGAACUUUGAAAUCAAGGGUAGCUUCAGCUCUCAGUUUAAAUAAAUAUUAGGGAGAUGUACAAGCAUAGACACCAGUGAUGAAGUGGUUACUUCAAGAUCUUUCUACGAUGUUCUUGAAUUUAUAUUAUCUGGGCUUGUUUGUUUACCUAGUCGUGCUACAUAGAGUUUGGUCCAUUUUGGGCUUAUCCUAAUGUUGGCCAUUUACCACUGGAGAUUCAGCUGUAACACAUACUUGGAGAGAAUUCUGGAUAAGUAGUUAAGGAUAUCCCAAUGAUACUAGGUCUUCUAAUCAUUUCUUAGGAUUCUCUACUUCUUUGCAGUAAGUACCACAGCUGUAAUCGUACAUCUAUGUAUUUCUUAUUUAUUAAGUGUAUGUUUCUAUAACACCAUAAAUCCUAUGAAACCAGAGGCUAUAUCUGUGUCUGUAUAUUAACUGCCUAGAAGUAUAGCAUAAAAUAAGUGUAAAAUAAACAUCUGUUGAAUAAGUGAAUGAAAGAGGCAAUUCCAAGAGGCUCCCUCCCAGUUCUUUACAAAUUCAUGUGAUUUUUACAGCAGGUUAAGUGGGAGGUAUAGAGUAAAUCAAUGUCUCCUCAAUUUACCUGUUUUUGAAAAUACAGAUUAUCAGAACUU